GCUAGCGUAGCUCAGUUGGUAGAGCAGCUGAUUCGUAAUCAGCAGGUCGGGGGUUCAAAUCCCCCCGCUAGCU
rnacentral:tRNA from 1 species